UUGGACAGUCACUGGAGGUCAGGAGAGCUUUGUGAGGAUGUGCUUUGGGGGCUUCAUGUGAAAAACCAGGGGAUUAUGAAUGGAAAAUGACUGUACAGCCACAUAUAAGAAGACCAACGGAUGGGCUGUAUGAAUGUGUAGCGGAGGAAG